rnacentral:piRNA from 1 species
UUUUCAGAGACCUCGGUGAGUCGCCGGUGG